rnacentral:rRNA from 1 species
AUUGAACGCUGGCGGCAGGCUUAACACAUGCAAGUCGAGCGGGGGCUUCGGUCCUAGCGGCGAACGGGUGAGGAAUGCUUGGGAAUCUGCCCAGUAGCGGGGGAUAACGUUUCGAAAGGAACGCUAAUACCGCAUACGCCCUACGGGGGAAAGGGGGGGAUCUUCGGACCUCUCACUAUUGGAUGAGCCCAAGUCGGAUUAGCUAGUUGGUGAGGUAAAGGCUCACCAAGGCGACGAUCCGUAGCUGGUCUGAGAGGAUGAUCAGCCACACUGGAACUGAGACACGGUCCAGACUCCUACGGGAGGCAGCAGUGGGGAAUAUUGGACAAUGGGCGAGAGCCUGAUCCAGCCAUGCCGCGUGUGUGAAGAAGGCCUUCGGGUUGUAAAGCACUUUAAGCGAGGAGGAAUGGCUCCGGGUUAAUACCCUUGAGCAUGGACGUUACUCGCAGAAUAAGCACCGGCUAACUCUGUGCCAGCCGCCGCCGUAAAAC